rnacentral:rRNA from 1 species
AUUGAACGCUGGCGGCAGGCCUAACACAUGCAAGUCGAGCGGAUGAGGGGAGCUUGCUUCCCGAUUUAGCGGCGGACGGGUGAGUAAUGCCUAGGAAUCUGCCUAUUAGUGGGGGAUAACGUUCCGAAAGGAACGCUAAUACCGCAUACGUCCUACGGGAGAAAGUGGGGGAUCUUCGGACCUCACGCUAAUAGAUGAGCCUAGGUCGGAUUAGCUAGUUGGUGGGGUAACGGCUCACCAAGGCAACGAUCCGUAGCUGGUCUGAGAGGAUGAUGAGCCACACUGGAACUGAGACACGGUCCAGCCUCCUACGGGAGGCAGCAGUGGGGAAUAUUGGACAAUGGGCGAAAGCCUGAUCCAGCCAUGCCGCGUGUGUGAAGAAGGCCUUCGGGUUGUAAAGCACUUUAAGCGGGGAGGAAGGUUCGUUACUUAAUACGUAACGGAAUUGACGUUACCCGCAGAAUAAGCACCGGCUAACUCUGUGCCAGCAGCCGCAGUAAAAC